CCUACGGGCGGCAGCAGUAGGGAAUUUUGCGCAAUGGGCGAAAGCCUGACGCAGCAACGCCGCGUGAUUGAUUAAGCCCUUCUGGGUGUCAAGAUCUGUCAGUAGGGACGAAACUUUACGGUACCCAGCGCUGCCGCACCGGCUAACUCCGUUCCCGCAGCCUCGUUAAUACGGAGGGUGCAAGCGUUGUCCGGCUGCAUUGGGCUUAAAGAGUGCGUAGGUGGUAUAUUAAGUCUGGGGUUAAAUGCAGAGGCUCAACUUAUGGUCUGCACUUGAUACUGGUAAGCUUGAAUGAGGUAGAGGUAAACGGAAUGACGGGUGUAGCGGUGAAAUGCGUAGAUAUCAGGAGGAACACCGGUGGCGUAAGCGCUUUACUGGGCCGUAAUUGACACUGAGGAACGAAAGCCGGGGUAGCAAAUGGGAUUAGAUACCCGUGUAGUC
rnacentral:rRNA from 1 species